CGGGGUCCCCGGGCAUGUCCUCAUGGGCUCUCAGCCCCAGGACAGGAGGAGCUGGGCAAACACACAGGAGACCAGCAGGCAGCAGGAGGGAGCCAGGCGUUUCCCUGGACGGCGGCCAUCGGGCUGUUGUUGGGAUCCAGUUUCAAGCUCCUUCGAGGAGAGCCGCAUGGGGUCAUCCCCUCCACGACGCCCCAGGAAGGAGACUGAUGAGCAGACAGUUGUUAACGCCGCGCCGCCGCCGCCACCGUGGAGGUUUGCCUUGAAAACCCCUCCACUGCCAGCUGCUCAGCUCUGCCCAGCCUAGGCCUCCAGGGCCCCAGGCUCCGCUGCCUGAGGAAAACCUGGAUCCUUCAGGGAGGAGGGGCACCGCCGCCGCAUUCCAAGGAGACCUCACACCCUCCCUCGCCUGCUGCUGCUUCCUUCUUAUUCUUCGGGGCUUUUCUAGCCCUCUGCUCCUCACAUCCUCCUGCCCCCAGGGA
rnacentral:lncRNA from 1 species